CUCCAGAAACUCAAUACAAAAUGUAACACGGCCAGAAAUGUAGCAAAUACUAUAGAACACUCACUUCAUGUGGACACGGCCCUGGGUUCAAGUCCCAUAGCAGGGAAAGAAAGAGUAACAUGGCCUGACUCUGUAGAGAAAAGUAGGGGCUUAAUAUCCAGCUAUGAUUUGUACAACUAUUGAAGCCAUCAGUCUACACCCCUUAAGCUUCAAUGAAGCCCUCAGACCCACAGGGAAGACUGACUCAGCCAUGUCUCAUGUCUCUUUCUCUGUAAAAGGUCACCUGUUCUGUGGCCAGUUGUGCUGUUCAGAAACCCAAGAACGGAAAACCAGCAACAUCAGUCUUGGAGGCAGGAAGACAGUGUAGGAUGGUCAAGACUUAGUAGGACUUGGAAAGAAUCAAACAUCCUUCUGAAUUUCCAGUCUAGUGUCACUGAGUGACUGGGCACAAGGUGGGCAGAUGGAAUUGCUCCUUCACUAGCAAAGGUCCAAGUGUCACCAAAAUGUCAAACGAUUACUUAUGGGUAAUUGGCCAGGAUAUGACUUGGAUUUAUUCACGUACCCGAAGUACUAUUUCAGUGACCUGGAGUGUGUGCUCAUCCCUCACGGCAUCUUAGUGGACAGAAUUGAGCGUCUGGCAAAGGAUAUAAUGAAAGACAUAGGCUGCCAUGAUAUUCUGGUCCUGUGUGUGCUGAAAGGAGGUUACAAAUUCUGUGCUGAUCUCGUAGAACACCUCAAGAACAUCAGCCGAAACUCAGAUUGAUUUGUCUCUAUGAAGGUUGACUUACUUCAUCAGACUAAAAAGUUACAAGGCAGUGGGAAAUUUGCCCUUCCUGGAGUCUCAUCUUGGACCUAGAGUGAAGACACAAGACUUCAGUAUUUUAGAGUUCACCAGCUCUUAGGGAUAUUGGAUCUGUUCAAAGCAGUGUGUGUCCCCAGGCAGGAAGUGACAUAGCAAGGAGACUCAUAUUUAAGGAAGGACAAGCAGGAAGU